GACGAACGCUGGCGGCGUGCUUAACACAUGCGAGUCGAACGGAAAGGCCCUGCUUUUGUGGGGUGCUCGAGUGGCGAACGGGUGAGUAACACGUGAGUAACCUGCCCUUGACUUUGGGAUAACUUCAGGAAACUGGGGCUAAUACCGGAUAGGAGCUCCUGCUGCAUGGUGGGGGUUGGAAAGUUUCGGCGGUUGGGGAUGGACUCGCGGCUUAUCAGCUUGUUGGUGGGGUAGUGGCUUACCAAGGCUUUGACGGGUAGCCGGCCUGAGAGGGUGACCGGCCACAUUGGGCUUGGGGUGGGGCCCAUGCCGCAGCGGGGGGAAGGGGGGGGAAAUAUUGCACAAUGGGCGGAGGGCGUGGAGAACAACCCCGGGUGGGAGAGGACGGCCUUCGGGUUGGAAACCCCUUUCGCCUGUAACGAGGGGUUAGGAAGGGAAAUGGGUAAAGAAGCCCGGGCUAACUCCGG
rnacentral:rRNA from 1 species